GACGAACGCUGGCGGCGUGCUUAACACAUGCAAGUCGAACGGAAAGGCCCUGCUUGCAGGGUGCUCGAGUGGCGAACGGGUGAGUAACACGUGGGUGAUCUGCCCCUUACUUUGGGAUAAGCCUGGGAAACUGGGUCUAAUACUGGAUAGGACCAUGCUGUAGGUGGUGUGGUGGAAAGAUUAGUUUCGGUAAGGGAUGAGCUCGCGGCCUAUCAGCUUGUUGGUGGGGUAAUGGCCUACCAAGGCGUCGACGGGUAGCCGGCCUGAGAGGGUGGACGGCCACAUUGGGACUGAGAGACGGCCCGCACCCCUACGGGGGGCGGGAGGGGGGAAUAUUGCACAAGGGGCGCAGGCUUGAGGCGGCGACGCGGGGGGGGGGAGGCCGGCUUUGGGGUUGAAAACUCUUUCCAGCCAUGACGAAGCCCUUGGGGGGAGGGGAGUGGAAGAAGAGACCCGGGCUAACUACGUC
rnacentral:rRNA from 1 species